UAUCUAACAGACAUAAGCUGCAACCAUGAGUACAGACGCGGAGAUGGCCGUUUAUGGCAAAGCUGCCAUAUACCUCCGUAAGCCAGAGAGGGAGAGAAUUGAGGCUCAAAGCAAACCCUUUGAUGCCAAGGCUGCCUGCUACGUGGCCGAUGCCAAGGAGCUGUACUUGAAGGGAACAAUCAUCAAGAAAUAGUCACUGUCAAAGUCCUGGACACGGAGGAGGAGAGGACAGUUAAAGAAGAUGACGUCUCUCCAAUGAACCCUCCAAAGUUUGACAAGAUUGAGGACAUGGCCAUG